GCGGGUGUAGCUCAGCAGGUAGAGCGCGGGCCGUGUGGCCCGAGGUCGUGAGUUCGACUCUUACCAUCCGCU
rnacentral:tRNA from 1 species